CGUCAGUCCCAGCAACGUGACACAGCCCGACAGCGCGUGCCGCACAUGUCGUUGUGGUCGGGCCGACGGAACGUCACUUCGAUGAUAAGUCUGAAGCAGAAUGUGACCUAGAAGCAGAAAAUCUAAGAGCAGAUGUGGACAAAGAUUACUGUCAACAAACAAACAGAUUAUGCUGAAAACGUAGUUGCUCAGCCAGCAGCAGAAAAUGUAUCAUGUAACAGAACUUACUCGAAGGGACAGAUCAACACAUGCCUCCCAGGACCAUGUAAUAUGUUUCUGGGUACUGAUGGAUCACGGAGCAGACUGUAGCAGAGUUUGCAAAGACCACGUCUGGCAGACUGGCAAGUCAUAACAUUGUAAGAGAAAAUCCAGGGCCUACACCAUAUUCAAAGUGGUGUAUUUCUGAUGCCAGUGUGGGUUAAAAAAUACCAAAUGAAGAACUGGAAACAGAAUAAUAGCCUCUCAUUCUGGCCAAAAGAAUGACAUCAGUGAUACUGAUGGAUGUAUAAACUGAAUGGUAGCACUGAUUCUUUGCAGCUUCUAAGCGAAAAGCAACUUGAUCAGCUACUUUGCCUUCCAGUGAAGACAAUCUUUAUUCACAAUUGCCAUCUGAUAUCUGUCCUACUACUCCUCCUCCUCCAACCAUCAUAUAAUGAUCAAUCAGAUGAGGAGCCACAAAGAAGGGUGAGUGUUGAAUUGAGGCAUUUGAAGCUAGCUGAUUCUAAUGAAGUAGAACUACUGAAGAUGAGGUUACUGGUGUGCAGUCCUUUGAAGAACAGAAUUUUGAAGGCAUUGAACAAACAGCUUCAUGAACAAGCAAAACUAGGAAAAACUUAAAUCUUCCAGAACAGUGGACAAGAAAUGUUUCAAAAAUCAGAUAGCAGCACAAAGAAGCCAUCAUUUCAUCCAGAAAAGUGUAUGUUCCAGAAAUAUGAAUGUCACUGACAAGACAGCUGAUAAAGGAAGUGUUAUAAAAGCCUUAUACAUACAUAAAGGCCAAACAUUUCUUAAGGAUAUUAUACAUUAGAGGCAUAUGAGAUAAAAAGAGACUUUAUUCACAGUAAGACAGACAAGAUGUUUAAAGAAACUAGUUCAUGUGUGAAUUCACGGAUGUUCACUGUUGUCUUUUGCUUGCCACAAAGAAGGGAAGGAAUCCUAGUCAAUAAGAAAAUGUUUUUGAAUACAUGUUGAAAUGAGUCUGUACCACUGUGUACCCUGAUCUGUAGUAGUUGAUAACACUUCUCUGUUUAUUGAACCAUUGAAUACCAAUUCAUAUAUGUUUCUAUGAAAAUUGCACAUCUUAUUUUCAUUGUAGGAUUUAUUGGAGGAUUAUAUUGUUGGUGAAUAAUAUUUGAAGUUCUGUUUCUCUUUUUAUAUUUUCUCUAUUAUAUUAUAAAAAUGCUAUACUUUCACUUUCAUGUUGCUUUUGAAAAUGUUAACUAUCCUAUGAAAUUACAGCUGCUUCUUUCAUCAGUAAUUGGCAGACAUUUGAGUAUCUAACUUUAUUAAGAUACCAAAAACUUUAUUACAAAAUUAAACCAAGAUUAUUUAAUUGAAUUAUUAGCAUAACAUUUGUUUAUAUAUUGAAUAUUAUUUUGUCAGUGGAUAUGACCUUAGACUUUCAGUAAAUAUUCAUUUCUGACUCAUUUCUCCACUGAGUCAUAGUAUAUUUGUUUACUGUGUGCCUUGUAAUAGUAUUUGGAGAGUCCUUUGUGGGCUGAUAGAGCCUGACUGUGACUUGUCUCCAUGUCAGAUGAAGUGUAAUGUUUGUCUUGUGGACUGCAGAUAUCCAAGAAAUGCAAAUGUUAAUUUAUGUAAUUCAACAAUUAUGAGAAAGAAUACAAAUAC